UACAGAGGUCCCAAGCGUUGUUCGGAUUCAUUGGGCGUAAAGGGUGCGUAGGCGGCGCGGUAAGUCGGGUGUGAAAUCUUGGAGCUUAACUCCGAAACUGCAUUCGAUACUGCCGUGCUUGAGGACUGGAGAGGAGACUGGAAUUUACGGUGUAGCGGUGAAAUGCGUAGAUAUCGUAAGGAAGACCAGUGGCGAAGGCGGGUCUCUGGACAGUUCCUGACGCUGAGGCACGAAGGCCAGGGAGCAAACGGG
rnacentral:rRNA from 1 species